rnacentral:rRNA from 1 species
AUUGAACGCUGGCGGCAGGCUUAACACAUGCAAGUCGAGCGGAGAGAGGUAGCUUGCUACUGAUCUUAGCGGCGGACGGGUGAGUAAUGCUUAGGAAUCUGCCUAUUAGUGGGGGACAACAUUUCGAAAGGAAUGCUAAUACCGCAUACGUCCUACGGGAGAAAGCAGGGGAUCUUCGGACCUUGCGCUAAUAGAUGAGCCUAAGUCGGAUUAGCUAGUUGGUGGGGUAAAGGCCUACCAAGGCGACGAUCUGUAGCGGGUCUGAGAGGAUGAUCCGCCACACUGGGACUGGGACACGGCCCAGACUCCUACGGGAGGCAGCAGUGGGGAAUAUUGGACAAUGGGCGGAAGCCAGAUCCAGCCAUGCCGCGUGUGUGAAGAAGACCUUAUGGUUGUAAAGCACUUUAAGCGAGGAGGAGGCUACUUUAGUUAAUACCUAGAGAUAGUGGACGUUACUCGCAGAAUAAGCACCGGCUAACUCUGUGCCAGCAGCCGCAGUAAUAC